CCGCCGGACAGUUUAUUCCAGAUAUGAAACAAUUAUGAUAUACAUGAACCAACGAAAACCACUGAAUUACAGGCUCCUUCCUGGCUUGGGACAGGCACAUACAGAAUAUGCGGGGUUAAACUAGUUUGAAGGCGCAAACAUUUCACUAACCUGGAACAGUGAUGUAAGACAUGACAGAGCAACAUUAGAAAACAAGAAUGUGUCCAUAGUACACGGAUGCCCCAUCCGCCAUAUUAUUUUCUAUGUUCAAUGGACCGUGAAAAUGGGGGAAAAUCUCUAAUUUG
rnacentral:lncRNA from 1 species